rnacentral:rRNA from 1 species
CGCAAUGGGCGAAAGCCUGACGGAGCGAUGUCGCGUGAUGGACGAAGUGCUUCGGUACGUAAACAUUUUUUAUGUGGGACGAAAUUCUUGACGGUACCACAUGAAUAAGGGGCUCCUAACUCUGUGCCAGCAGGAGCGGUAAUACAGAGGCCCCAAGCGUUACCCGGAAUCAUUGGGCGUAAAGGGUGUCAAAGCGGUCAUAUUAGUCUCCCGUUAAAUCUGUGGGCUCAACCCACCGGCUGCGGGGGAAACGGUAUGACUAGAGGUCGGAAGAGGUGCGUGGAACUCACGGUGUAGGGGUGAAAUCCGUUGAUAUCGUGGGGAACACCAAAGGCGAAGGCAGCGCACUGGUCCGAAUCUUCCUUUUCCACACGAAAGCCA